rnacentral:sRNA from 1 species
UGUGCAUGAAAUGUGGGAUAAGCCCACAUC